UUGGGCUGGAAGAGGCACUGCUGACAGCAUGAUUUUCCUCUUCUCUGACCUCCAGACCCUGAACACAACUGGACAACCAGGACCAUCGGCCCUGUAUGUCGCACACCCCGUGUUGUUCAUAAUCUAGAAACCAGAACUUGUAUUUUCAACCGGAAGAUAUAAGAGUGGGAAACUUUCUCCUGCAGCUCAUCUCCAUAUGAAUCUGCACUUAUUGAUACUUUUCUUCAUCACCAAAAUCCUCUUUACAUGAGGCUGCAGAAAGAUAAAGUAAUGGACUCAGGUCUUCAUAACAUUUAAAAACUAAGUGAUACAUACAUGGAUAUUUAGAAGAUUAAAAUAUUUCAUUCAAAAUAUGUCCUAAUUAUCUUUUUUCUUUUUUUAGCUGAGGUUAAGAUAGCACUUGAACUCUAAACUUCUUUAAUAAUGUAUUAAUAUAAUAAUAUUAUAUUAAGUGCUCUGAGAAUACUACUGGAUCACAAAUUUAUAAUGUGUAGUUUUGUCCUGCCUGUACUUGGAUUAUAAACUCUUUGGAAGUAAGAACUAUCUUUUAGUCCUGUUGUCUUUAUAGUACCCAGAAAGUUGGGGCUUGGCAAUUCUACUGCGGUCACGGUUCCAACACUGACAGAGAAGCUGAGAACUUGAGGAUGGCUGCUGCCUUCUGGGAAGUAAAGAUCAGAUAGAGCUAAAUGUCCGCAUUCAGGAGAUCAUGCAAUGAUCACCUCCAGUUCCUUGAGUCGGCAUUUUGAUUUUGUCAGCAUCUGGUUCAUUACUAAAAGGUUCAGAAUAUUUCCACUGAUUGCUUUCCUGUGAGUAUGAUUAAAGUAUUUACUUCAGACUUCCUUGCCAGAGGAAAUUCAAUAGUGUUUCAGCACUUCUUUUUUAUAUUAUUUUGAAACUUUUCUCUCUCUAUUUUUUUCCCUUGUGUACUUACCUGCUUUUUCAGGGGCUAAUCCAAAGCUAGUAGGCAAGUCUGCAGUCAGGUCUUGAACAUUUAUUCAUUUGGGGCCGCUGUUACCACAAUCUAUUUUCAGAGUAGAUGCUAUAGGAUUUUAUUUUGAAUUUUAUCUUCAAGUCGGAAUGUUUGAAUUUUACAAUAAUCACAUUGUAGGCAUUUGGCUGUUCUUCUAGGAGCUUUUUUUAUUUCUUCAUUGGAUUUCAGCGGGUUUUCUGCUUGCUAUAAGAUUCUUACAUUGUAUUCAAAUCAAAUUCACUUGUCUUUCUGGAGCAAGUAUGGGCUUUGAGGGGUCCUGAGAUUCCAGGUAACCAUGUUUUCUGACUAUUCCCAAUAUGUGUAUCUUAGCUCUAUUUUUUUCUUCUUUAUGUGUUUAUGAUGUGCAUAAUCUUCAUCCCCUUGAAUAUAUGGAAAUUCUAGAGUGAAGACAUACAGAUGACUGGCUCUAAGUUUAAGCAGUGUCUGUGACAGCAACCUGGUGGGAUAUUUCACCAGGUCAAGGCAUCUCCCUUAGGUACCACCAUCUUUGUUAAUUCAGUGUAUAGCAAGCUUUUAAUUCUCUGUGCUGGGUGCCCAUACUCUCCAUUUGCCUGUUUCACUCUACCUCUGCUCUGUUCCUCCCUUUUUUUUU
ensembl:lncRNA